UUUGAAACUCAUUCAAUUAACUUUGCGCCAGGCUGACGGAGCCCUUGCAAUUGGCUGGCUGAGAAGAGUGGGCGGUGACUAUUAACUGAGCGCCUGUUUUGUCGAGUGCAGGAAGUAGGAAACGUAAAACUGCAAAGCUUGCUGCUUUUCCUUUAGGUCUCAUCAUUGCCAAGGGAGAGAGGCCAACCCAUUUGUCCUCUGGCACAGAGUCGUCCCCUUUGGUCCCUUAAUGACCUUCCAAGAAUUAGAAGGGGGAUUCAAGCAUUAGCAGGGUCUCCGUCUGCAGCCUACUCCUCCACCCAAACUCAUAACAAUAUCUACAUCUUUUAAAUGGAACCUGCCAAUGCAAAUUUUCCCAGGCAACCUACGUACAGCUAACAGGAUACAGGUUCCAUCCAGGUGGUUUACAGCGACACAAACGCAUACAUCUCAAUCCUAUGCAUGACUAUGCACAGACCACAUCAGUGAGGCUGAGAGUGAGGUCUUGUUGUCUGGCUGGCCCAGGACCUCCAUACGCACAGCCCAGGCUUGCACCAAAGAGGUCACUUCAGUGCUGGUCAUUCAGCAGAAACAACACGGGAAGCAGCAGUUACAAGUUACCAGUCUCUGCAGACUUCACCCCUGGAGGCACAUUCCAUUGUCUCUCAAGACAGACGGAUGCCAACCCCUUGCAUUGGUAGAGAGGGCAGUGAUCUCUGUUGACUCACCAUGUGGCAACUGAUGCUGAAACUUACCUUUUUCAAUGACAGAACUGCACUUGUGAAUGCAGAAACAUAUGUCCAGGCUCCCAGACUGAACAGUUUUCCCAGGUGCUUGAAUAGUAAUGGGGUGACUGAUGAGGUGGAUAUGCAGUGAACAAUGUGUGUAGUUGCUACGCAGUUGCCAUAGUUUAUGGCUUCACUCCAACUUUAGGUAAACCAUUAGUGCUGAAGUAUGGUCAAUUAAGGCCUUGUAAAGCAAGUUUAGAUUUCUGCAGGCAGUGGGGCUUACUACCUUCAUGGAAAACCUUUCAAAUUAAAGUGCUAUAAAAGGAAAUGUAGACACACUGCCCUUAUUGCCAACUCUAAGUGGGGCUUUGUUAGUUCCAGCGUAUGUCAAAGGCAGCCCCACUAGUGGCCAUUAUUUGGGAUGUUACUGGCUUCUUCCAUGAACAUCAGGAGCCCACGGCCAUCUCUCCUUGCUCCCAUAUUAACACACCUACAGGUGCCAAACUGACAGCAUCUUAAAGCACUGCUAGAAUCCAGGGAUUGCCACUUGCUCCCCUGCAUACCAGAUUUGGUCCUUGAAGCAAAUUAAUCUGGCCAGCAUCCCUAUAUUUUAAAUCAAGGAAUGAUAAACAUUUUAUUCACAUUCUUAAUGGAAAUAAGUGAAUGUGUGUGUGUGAGAUGCCAUACUUUAGUGAUACAUCUUGCUUUUUUAAAUUUAACACUCUGGUUGACAGCUCCUUGGAGACUUCAUUAUAGAACCUGAACAUCCAUGAGGAAGUUGGGUGGUGUAGCAAAAUUCCCUUCUAGUCCUUAGAUCAAUGUCUGCAGAAUAAUGUGCUGUCCCCAGAGAAUACUCACAUUAGUUCUUCCUGCCAUUCUAACUUUAUUCAGAAGAUACCACCCACAUUUUGCUUAACACUGGUGUCCGUGAUCAGCAUGGUCAAGUAUCUGCCAAGGGCCCACACCCCAGGCAGGCACCUGCACCUCUUCUCCUAUUCACCACUGCAGCCUGCUUAUUUGCCCACUUCUCAUUCUCACCCAGAUGAGAGCAGUAGUGAGGCAAAGCAAUAGAUUGCUUGCUAACUUGCUGGCUUUUGACCUGGCAAGCAAGGAGGUGGCAGCAAUGCCAAGAAAGAAGAGCAGCACAAGCUGGUGCUAAUAGGGAUGGGGUGGUAUAUUCACUAUGGGAGCAGGGACCAUGGAAGAGGUCUUGCCCAUGAGCUCUCCAAGUCCUGAAACCUGGACCACACAGGAGCAGGGGCAUGCUGAAUAGUCCUACUCCCAGUCUCCACACAAACAACACAAGCACCAUUCUGCACUCAUGUGAUUGGGGCUCCAGAUCAUGAGGAAGCAUUUGGAAAGCCCCAUUGGUGCAGGCUGCCAUGCUGCUCAUGCAGAGACUAGUUACUAGUUGCUCAUGUGUUGAGCAACACAGGAGCAGUAUCUUCUGAAGAGUCUCUUGGAUGUUCUAGGCUUCCACUUUUACAAGCAAUGGAGAGAACAUGCAGCUGCUGGUCCCAAGACAGAUCCUUACACAGUGCUGUUAAACAGUGUCAACUAAGCCCUGCUGCAUUGCAGAACGCGAAUUUCAUCCACCAAUCCUUGUGAUGUGUCUAGCAGCUGGGUCAGUGAUGAAGAGAGAAGACAAAGGGCUUCAUUCUCUGGUGCUUUCAGCAUAUCACUCCAGAUGUUGACUACAGGGGCCUCAGAACAGCAAAACCCAGAUGGCGAAGAGUUCAAAAAAGGUCUCUCCAAAAUGGGUGAAUGGGCAACAGAAUGCUUAUUAAACUCAUUACAAAUAAGUCCUAAAUUGUGCACACUGGAGGGAAAAAAAUCUGACUGCUGAUAUGUAUGCUGAUUGAGUUGAAUUGGCUGUGACUGCUUUGCAAAGAGAUUUUGGAGCUAUAGUGGAAAGCUUACAGAAAACAUCCAUGUGCCAUGGUAAUGUGCCAGGAACAAUUAGGAAAGGAAAGGAAUAAAAAUAAAAUAAAUAUUGAAAUGCCAUUAUAUAAA